UGGGGAAUUUUGGACAAUGGGCGAAAGCCUGAUCCAGCAAUGCCGCGUGUGUGAAGAAGGCCUUCGGGUUGUAAAGCACUUUUGUCCGGAAAGAAAUGGCUCUGGUUAAUACCUGGGGUCGAUGACGGUACCGGAAGAAUAAGGACCGGCUAACUACGUGCCAGCAGCCGCGGUAAUACGUAGGGUCCAAGCGUUAAUCGGAAUUACUGGGCGUAAAGCGUGCGCAGGCGGUUGUGCAAGACCGAUGUGAAAUCCCCGAGCUUAACUUGGGAAUUGCAUUGGUGACUGCACGGCUAGAGUGUGUCAGAGGGGGGUAGAAUUCCACGUGUAGCAGUGAAAUGCGUAGAGAUGUGGAGGAAUACCGAUGGCGAAGGCAGCCCCCUGGGAUAACACUGACGCUCCAUGCACGAAAGCGUGGGGAGCAAACAGGAUUAGAUACCCUGGUAGUCCACGCCCUAAAACGAUGUCAACUAGUUGUUGGGGAUUCAUUUCCUUAGUAACGUAGCUAACGCGUGAAGUUGACCGCCUGGGGAGUACGGUCGCAAG
rnacentral:rRNA from 1 species